rnacentral:rRNA from 1 species
UACGUAGGCAGCAAGCGUUGUUCGGAAUUACUGGGCGUAAAGAGUGUGUAGGCGGUGCUCUAAGUCUGUUGUGAAAUCUCCCGGCUUAACCGGGAGGGUGCGGCGGAAACUGGAGUGCUUGAGGGUGGGAGAGGUAAGCGGAAUUCCUGGUGUAGCGGUGAAAUGCGUAGAUAUCAGGAGGAACACCUGUGGUGUAGACAGCUUACUGGUCCACUUCUGACGCUGAGACACGAAAGCGUGGGUAGCAAACAGG